AUGUACCCUAAAGAGCCCUGUUUGUUACAUUUAUGUGUCUCCCUCUCCCCGAGUCGGUAGGGGUUAUUUGCGCCUCUGCUGUCUUUUGUGGAUGUAGUAGCCGUCUCUCGCUCCCUCUCUCCGGGGUCAACCCCUAUCCCUCCUAUACCCGUUGACACUGUGGCGCGUCUAUACCCUGCCCUCCAAAGUUGAUAGGGCAUAUAUUUAAAUGAACCAUCCGGGGCACAGGGCCAUGCUAUUCGCUUAUAUAUUAAUAUUCCCCAGGGAACCCCGAAGGGGUUUUUUUCUUUAUCAAAUACACACUCCCCAUCCCAAGGCUAGGUUUUUAGUAUGUAUUAUCUCUAUAACUACCACAUGUAUGCAUGUAGAAAGGUACUAUAAAAUAAAACAGAACUGAUUUAAUGAUCCAUUUUUCAUUUCACAAAACAAUUUGUUUAUACAUAUACAUGGGUGGCUCUUUCAUAGAGACAUAUAUAUACCUACUGGAUCAAACCAAAAAAAAAUUGAUUUCCCCGGGGAAAAAAAGGAAGAGGCGGUAAAAUAAAGUAUUGACGAGGAAAAGGGAAGGGUUAAUUUAACCAUUAUG
rnacentral:rRNA from 1 species